GGACAUUUAGUUCAGUUGGUCAGAACGCCCGGCUCAUAACCGGGUAGUCCGGGGUUCGAGUCCCUGAAUGUCCA
rnacentral:tRNA from 1 species